rnacentral:rRNA from 1 species
UACGUAGGCAGCGAGCGUUGUUCGGAGUUACUGGGCGUAAAGGGUGUGUAGGCGGUUCUUUAAGUUUGGUGUGAAAUCUCCCGGCUCAACUGGGAGGGUGCGCCGAAUACUGAGGGACUAGAGUACGGGAGAGGAAAGUGGAAUUCCUGGUGUAGCGGUGAAAUGCGUAGAUAUCAGGAGGAACACCGGUGGCGAAGGCGGCAUCCUGGACCGGUAUUGACGCUGAGGCGCGAAAGCUAGGGGAGCAAACGGG